AGAGUUUGAUCCUGGCUCAGGACGAACGCUGGCGGCGUGCUUAACACAUGCAAGUCGAACGGUAAGGCUCCUUUUUUGGGGUACACGAGUGGCGAACGGGUGAGUAACACGUGAGUAACCUGCCCUCAUCUCUGGGAUAACAGUCGGAAACGGUUGCUAAUACUGGAUAUGAGCUUGCAAGGCAUCUUGUGGGUUGGAAAGAUAUUUUUUUGGUUGGGGAUGGACUCGCGGCCUAUCAGCUUGUUGGUGAGGUAGUGGCUCACCAAGGCUUCGACGGGUAGCCGGCCUGAGAGGGCGACCGGCCACAUUGGGACUGAGAUACGGCCCAAACUCCUACGGGAGGCAGCAGUGGGGAAUAUUGCACAAUGGACGGAAGUCUGAUGCAGCAACGCCGCGUGCGGGAUGACGGCCUUCGGGUUGUAAACCGCUUUCAAUUGUGACGAAGCUUUUUGUGACGGUAGCAGUAGAAGAAGCACCGGCUAACUACGUGCCAGCAGCCGCGGUGAUACGUAGGGUGCGAGCGUUGUCCGGAUUUAUUGGGCGUAAAGAGCUUGUAGGCGGUUUGUCGCGUCGGGAGUGAAAACUUGGGGCUUAACCCUGAGCUUGCUUUCGAUACGGGCUGACUUGAGGGAGGUAGGGGAGAAUGGAAUUCCUGGUGGAGCGGUGGAAUGCGCAGAUAUCAGGAGGAACACCGGUGGCGAAGGCGGUUCUCUGGACCUUUCCUGACGCUGAGAAGCGAAAGCGUGGGGAGCGAACAGGCUUAGAUACCCUGGUAGUCCACGCCGUAAACGUUGGGCACUAGGUGUGGGGGGCCUUUUCCGGGUCUUCCGCGCCGUAGCUAACGCAUUAAGUGCCCCGCCUGGGGAGUACGGCCGCAAGGCUAAAACUCAAAGGAAUUGACGGGGGCCCGCACAAGCGGCGGAGCAUGCGGAUUAAUUCGAUGCAACGCGAAGAACCUUACCUGGGUUUGACAUAUGCCGGGAGCGUUCAGAGAUGGGCGUGCCUUUUUGGUCGGUUUACAGGUGGUGCAUGGCUGUCGUCAGCUCGUGUCGUGAGAUGUUGGGUUAAGUCCCGCAACGAGCGCAACC
rnacentral:rRNA from 1 species